UAGCGUCUCUAUUCUUCUUUUUUAAAGCGUUACAUUUGAGUUAUAACAUUAGCCAUGAUGGUGAAAUAUGUGAUAGUUUUAUCGAGUGUAUUUAUAACCACUGAGAAGUAAAUAUUUGUAUUUUUUUUUUUUUAAUUUAACUUGAAAGUAAUUUGCUAUUUACCUGGUGGUAAGUGGUAGCUGUCACCAAUAAACGAAAAUUGCACCGUAUACUAUACAGAAUACUGUGUUACAUCCAUAAUACCCUUAUAGAUUACUGAUCCCGACGACUAAGAUGUUACAACGUCUAACUUGUUUCUACCUAUUUAAAAAAAAAAACUAUACAAUUUUAAAACAGAAUUAAUCUAUUUACUUUUCAGACCUCGUGAACUCUGGAAUAUCUUACAGCGAAGAAAAGAAGAAUCUUCUAGAAUGCGAAGCUUUACAUUACAUCGAGUAAAGGAAGAGUACCAAUACCAAGAAGAGUUCAUGUAGUUGACGGCGGACGCCACCUACUCUAAAGAAGAAGGAUCUGCUGAGAUCCUGUUAUUUGGGAGCCGAAGUGUAUCGCUAUUGGAAUACAAUGCACAGCGGUGUAUAUAUAUGGUGUGAUGGGAUGAUGCUUUCUCUCCCUCUCGCAAGCUGUUCCUGCCUGCUUUCCAGCCGACGCUGCAGUCUUCUAGAAGCAGAAGAAUUGAAAGCAGACAUAACAAAAUUAUAGUUUAGUAAUUUAUACAUAUUUUUUUAUACAUGUAGAAAUAAAACUAAUGGUAUAUGUCUAUAUUUAUAACAGGAAUUUUACGAAAUUAUCAUAUUUGUCGUUUCCGACUGCAUCCGGAAGUCCUCUUUAGGGGGCUUACGCCUCUUUGAGUCACAGCGUGCGACACGAGAUGCUGUGACUUUAAAAAAUUAAUAUAAGUUUUAAAAAUCUUCUUUUAGAUAGAUAAUUUAUUUGCAUUACUUACA
rnacentral:lncRNA from 1 species